rnacentral:rRNA from 1 species
GUCGUCAGCUUACCCUGUGAAGGUUUAACAGUAAGCAAAAUGGGCACACCCAAAAACGUCAGGUCGAGGUGUAGCGUACGAAGUGGGAAGAAAUGGGCUACAUUUUCUUUACAAAGAAUAUUACGAAUGGUGUAAUGAAACAUAUACCUGAAGGUGGAUUUAGUAGUAAAAAGUAAACAGAGCGCACUUUUGAAUUAGGCUCUGAGACGCGCACACACCGCCCGUCACUCUCCCCUUAUAUAUACCAUCCAAACAUUCCUAAUAAUUUACAAACCAACAC